rnacentral:piRNA from 1 species
UAACAACCAUACAUAUAAGAGGCACUGC